rnacentral:lncRNA from 1 species
UACUAAUCAGCUACUUGUCAGGAAAAAAGAAAAAAAAUAUCUCUAGGAUCCCCCAAAUUCUCAAAUGGGCAAGACUAAAUUCAUACAUUAAUAAAAAAACAAUAUUCUUUCAUUUUACUUUAUUUCUUUCAGCCCAAUCCCAUAGUUCUAAAGAGAAACUUACCUCAAGGACCAGGUUCAAUGUGGAGACCCAUUUCCUUUACCGCUGGAAUACAUGACAUGGUCAGUGGAUGUGCCUAUGAACCUAUCACUCUGCUCUGGAAUUGGAAAUGAGUCCAGUUCUGCUGCAAGGUCUUCAUUAUUCGAUAGUCUUGCUAAAACGAUGAACGAUGAAUGGGGCCAGCCAGUUGAAAACUCACAAUCUUGCCUUGGGGAACACAAUUUACGGAGUCCAAGGGGACAAUCAGAAAACAUGAUCAGCUCAGAGACCUGUCAUGCACAGUACAGAAGGCUUGUCUGACUUACGAAGUACAGGCUAUUUUAUUGACUGGAAGAUCAAAAAGGAAUACAUAGCAGAGAUGCCCACAAAAGGGCAACCUCCAGAGUUUCUUACAUUGCGAAAGACGUGUGCUCUUUCCUUUUGAGGUUUCAGCAGCCUAGAAUAGGAAAGUCAAUCCAGAGAUGAUGGAGUCCCUCAAACCCUGCCUCAAGCAAAUAGUAGUCUGAAGGAGAGCAGGCAUCAUUCUACUUCAUAGCUGGUAAUAAACAACAGGAACAGGAAGCUCCCUUGCAAGAUAAUAUUUUCUUUUAUUUUAAUGUUGAAAGAU